GUAAGGACUCAACUUUUUUUUUUCUUUUGCUUUAGUUUAGAUUUGUUAUUUCAGCCUUGCAAUGGUGACUGUCCUACAUGUGAUAAGACUGCUUUCCAAAGCUUUUCCUUCAUUAAGGGAAUCAGAAACAUUUUGUUCAUUGUGGCUAACAUACUUCUAAUGCACAAGUGUUCACUUUUAGGGGUUUGAGGUCCUAAGUGAGCAAUGAAUGUCUUGACAAUUUUUAUACCUCUAUAUCAAACUAUGAAAGAAAAAAAAAAUGAGAUCACCAAAUCUUUUUCCCCAUUAAAGCCUGUUUUCCCCAGUCAAAUUUAAGAUGCCUAGACGUCUAAUCUGUUCAUUUAUUGCA
rnacentral:misc_RNA from 1 species